ensembl:lncRNA
GGAGAAGGUUCACUCGAGUGGGAUCAGGAUGUCUGUUGAAUCCUGGAGUUUCUCAGUUUCUCUGGAGCACCAGCUUUGCUCAAAGCAAACACUGGCAUGUGCUCACAUGGGUGAGGAGGCUGGGAUGGAAAUGGCAGGUCAGUAGCCCCUGCGAGCACACCCUGCCCACCUACAUCACUUCUCCCCCCUCCCUGCCUGCUCGAGCUGUUGGAGCUUUUCCUGUGAACAAAGGAUCCUUCAGACACGCUGGGAAAAGGCCAGGGAUCCUCAGACAGAUGUAUUCCAUAAGCGAGUUUUCCCAUGACAAGCUGGACUGGAAGUAGUGUAUAAGAAGCUCUAAUCUUCCAAAGGUAUGAAAAAAUGAUUGAUGAGGGGCAAGGGGCAUAAACAGCUUACAGAGCUCGGGCA